GAGCCAGCACGCUCCAGUGGGGAGUACGGGUCAUCAAUAUCUGAUCCUGAAUCUGCUAAUGAUGUAUCACUACUUCUUCCCUUCAGUGAAGGUAUUUGAGCACGGGAGUGAAAUUUCGGUUCAUUCUUGGCCAUUCUUGUGCCUUGCCUUACAAAGGUGGGUCCUGCAUUAUGCACAACCUUCAUAAUAUCAGGAUCGUUCCAGGGACCUUUAUUAGAUCGAAGGCAUCCUCCUUCAACACCAUUACAUGUACACGAGCCACCCAAGAAA
rnacentral:misc_RNA from 1 species